GUGGAUGUAGCUCAAUUGGUAGAGCGCCUCCUGAAGGAGGAGUUGAGCGCUGCCCAAGGCUCAUAACCCAGGGUAUCUCAUACGGCUGGCCAGACGUUAUCCGGGUUCGAGUCCCGGCCCCACA
rnacentral:tRNA from 1 species